rnacentral:rRNA from 1 species
GAUGAACGCUGGCGGCGUGCCUAACACAUGCAAGUCGAGCGAACGGACGAGAAGUUUGCUUCUCUGAUGUUAGCGGCGGACGGGUGAGUAACACGUGUAUACCCUACCUAUAAGACUGGGAUAACUUCGGGAAACCGGAUCUAACACCGGAUAAUAUUUUGAACCGCAUGGUUCAACAGUGAAAGACGGUCUUGCUGUCACUUAUACAUGGUACCGCGCUGCAUUAGCUAGUUGGUAAGGUAACGGCUUACCAAGGCAACGAUGCAUAGCCGACCUGAGAGGGUGAUCGGCCACACUGGAACUGAGACACGGUCCAGACGCCUACGGGAGGCAGCAGUAGGGAAUCUUACGCAAUGGGCGAAAGCCUGACGGAGCAACGCCGCGUGUGUGAUGAAGGUCUUCGGAUCGUAAAGCUCUGUUAUUAGGGAAGAACAUAUGUGAGCGUAACUGUGGAGAUCUUGACGGUACCUAAAGAAAAAGCCACGGCUAACUACGUG